CUACGGGCGGCACCAGUGAGGAAUAUUGCACAAUGGGGGGAACCCUGAUGCAGCAACGCCGCGUGGAGGAUGACGCAUUUCGGUGUGUAAACUCCUUUUAUAUGUCAAGAAAAUGACGGUAGCAUAUGAAUAAGCACCGGCUAACUCCGUGCCAGCAGCCGCGGUAAUACGGAGGGUGCAAGCGUUACUCGGAAUCACUUGGCGUAAAGGACGCGUAGGCGGGUUGGAAAGUCAGGUGUGAAAUCCUACAGCUUAACUGUAGAACUGCACUUGAAACUUCUAAUCUAGAGUAUGGGAGGGGGAGAUGGAAUUAGUGGUGUAGGGGUAAAAUCCGUAGAUAUCACCAGGGAUACCUAAAGCGAAGGCGAUCUCCUGGAACAUUACUGACGCUAAGGCGUGAAAGCGUGGGGAGCAACAGGAUUAGAUACCCUGGUAGUC
rnacentral:rRNA from 1 species